GGCUACUUGUGGUUCAGCGGUUUGAGCGCUGGAUUAGGACUUUGGGAGACCAGAGUUCGAAUCUCUGUUUAGCCA